AUGAACGCUGGCGGCGUGCCUAACACAUGCAAGUCGAACGGAGUUGUCACCAUGAAGUUUUCGGAUGGAAUGGAGGCAACUUAGUGGCGGACGGGUGAGUAACGCGUGGGUAACCUGCCUCAUACUGGGGGAUAACAGCUGGAAACGGCUGCUAAAACCGCAUAAGAUCGCAUCACCGCAUGGUGAGGCGGUUAAAUAUCGAAAGAUAGGUAUGAGAUGGGCCCGCGUCUGAUUAGCUAGUUGGUGAGAUAAGAGCCCACCAAGGCGACGAUCAGUAGCCGGCUUGAGAGAGUGACCGGCCACAUUGGGACUGAGACACGGCCCAAACUCCUACGGGAGGCAGCAGUGGGGAAUAUUGCACAAUGGGGGAAACCCUGAUGCAGCGACGCCGCGUGAGUGAAGAAGUGCUUCGGCAUGUAAAGCUCUAUCAGCAGGGAAGAAGAUGACGGUACCUGACUAAGAAGCCCCGGCUAACUACGUG
rnacentral:rRNA from 1 species